UGUCCAGGCUGGCCCUUCGCUGCCCUAUAUAAGCUUCCUGGGCCUCACCCUGCUCAAAGCUGAGUGUGUUUGCUUCCAUGUACAGCAUCAGUGGAAUGGGGAGGACACAUAUGAUACAAUACCGAAGCUUCUCACCAUACUUCCUGGCUGUGAACUGUUCCCCCUUCUGUGAGGAUGCAGAGCAGCUGAUUCCCAUGGAGAAGCAGAAUCAGAAACUGAGCUUCCAUCUCUAUGGUCUGCUAUUGGUUGAAAGGCGUGGGUCCAGAUGGCAUAUUGCAGCUACAGGAAGGAUGUGAGGAUAAGGCUAUGUUCCUGAUUGCUGAGGCAUGAAUUCUUCAGUGCUUAAUGGGUGAGC